UACAGAGGUCCCAAGCGUUGUUCGGAUUCACUGGGCGUAAAGAGCUCGUAGGCGGUCUGUCGCGUCGGCUGUGAAAACUCGGGGCUCAACUCCGAGCUUGCAGUCGAUACGGGCAGGCUAGAGUUCGGCAGGGGAGACUGGAAUUCCUGGUGUAGCGGUGAAAUGCGCAGAUAUCAGGAGGAACACCGGUGGCGAAGGCGGGUCUCUGGGCCGAUACUGACGCUGAGGAGCGAAAGCGUGGGGAGCGAACAGG
rnacentral:rRNA from 1 species